rnacentral:RNase_P_RNA from 1 species
UAAAUCGAAUAGUCGCUGGUAAAUAUCGAAAGAUAUUACGAGAGGAAAGUCCGGGCUCCAUAGAGCAAUGAUACUUGAUAACGUCAAGCGAGGGUGACCUUAGGGAAAGUGCAACAGAAAAUAACCGCCUAGUUAAAAUUUAAAUUUCUGCAAAGCUUGCUUUGUGGGACUUAAGGAGGAACUAAUUUCGCUAUGUAUAAAAGGAGCAUGCUCGUUUUCUAUAUAACGAAAUUAGCUUUAGACUAGGUAAGGGUGAAAAGGCAGGGUAAGAGCCUACCGGAAGAAUAGUGAUAUUCUUUGUUCGUGUAAACCCUAUCUGGAGCAACACCUUGUGCAUGAGAAAUGUUAAAGCUGCUCGCUGUUUUCUUUUAGCACUUGUGUGGCUUGAGGUAUAUAGCAAUAUAUAUCCUAGAUAAAUGACUAUUUAAGACAGAACCCGGCUUAUAGAUUUACUCUU